rnacentral:rRNA from 1 species
UACGUGGGGUGCGAGCGUUGUCCGGCAUUAUUGGGCGUAAAGAGCUUGUAGGCGGUUUGUCGCGUCUGCUGUGAAAAUCCGGGGCUCAACCCCGGACUUGCAGUGGGUACGGGCAGACUAGAGUGCGGUAGGGGAGAUUGGAAUUCCUGGUGUAGCGGUGGAAUGCGCAGAUAUCAGGAGGAACACCAAUGGCGAAGGCAGAUCUCUGGGCCGUAACUGACGCUGAGGAGCGAAAGCAUGGGGAGCGAACAGG